AAAAAUACCCACCCAUGCCUGCCAGCAGUUUGACUUGACCUCUUCCUCCAAAAAGGAAGAAGAAAUCCCAAAGAUACCUUCUCUCCUUUGAGAGCAAUCAGUGCUGUACUGUCAGCGUGGGGCAGGAUUCCGUCGCCGCAGGAUGUAUACAGUAGAUCACCUUUAAGCCAGCGAAACUCUUGAAUCGUGGUCUUCGUCCUAGGACAAGGUGGAGGAGCCGGUUGCAGAGAGGGGCCGCCAGCGUAACUGUCACAGUGUCACUUGGCAAGUAUGGCCUUUUGUGUGGCCAUUUCUUAUAAGAGGUGGUUAUUUUGGGGUUCUAAUAAGCCUUUCUUAAGGUACUGCUGAACUGCAAGUAAAGCGCACCCUCACACUGAGAGUUAAAAGCGGAGGCGGUGUGUUAAUUCUGAGAAAUUAAUGUUCCUGAUUAGCUGGGGAUUGCUUCCCGUGCCUCAGCAUCUGUACGUAGCUGUGUCCUCCCCAGAGGUGCUGGAUACAGCUCCGACAUCCCGUUCCUGUGUACUACAGGAUAUUUCUCAGUUUGUAGCAGUGUUGCUGGUUCAAGGCAGGUCCCGUCUUGGGCGGUGUGGUGUUUUCAUGUGAAGCUGGAGCUGGUUUGCAGGUUUGAAUUGGCAGAAGCUCACUUUUUUUUGUGUGUGUCUCUGCAGUUCGGUGCUCACAGCACAGCAUCAGCUCUGGAGAUGUAGGGCAGUGUUGGGGACAUCCUGCAGACCCACUGCCGAGGCUGGACUGAUCCAGUCUCGAGGCCUCUUCCUUCAGGUGGUGAAUUGUGGGAUAAUGCUUUUUCUGAAAGCAGGGUCACACUGAGAGAGCAGCUAAAGGUCAGGAUUGUGACCUAUGCUGUCAACUACUGUAGCAUCGCGUGCAUGGAUCCCUUCCAGCUCCUUGGAUGGGAAGACCUGCAGCUGAGCACCUCCUCAGCUGCUUGGUCGUAACACUUAGAGAGUGGUGGUAGUGGGCAGAUGAUGGGAAAUCAGUGGAGGGCAGAACAUUGCAGAGACACAGAGGGAUAGAGUUUGUCUGUUGUUGUAUUUUUCUUAUUAGGACUUGCUUUCAUGCAGAAAAUUCUUGAAAGUCAAACUCUGGCUGAGAUUUAAUAGGAAAAACAUAUGUAUAUGUUCUAGGAGUCACUCCUCAUCGCUGUGUGUGACACAGUACUCAGCUGGUAUUUGCACUGAGACAAAAAGAAAGGGGUUGAACCCCUUGGAGUCUGCUCUGAGGGAAUUUGUUAGUGGAUAACAAACAGCGAGAAAGCUUGGCCGGGCUGAAGCCAAUGGGAUGUAUUGAUGAAUGGGAGCUGAUCUCUGCUCGCGUAAUCCUGACUUGUGACAUCAGACCUUGGGGCCUUCAAGGGCUUCCCUGUGACCUGUUAUAAUCUUCAACUAUUCCCAAAGUUGGGGCAUUUGACAAAGGCACAGCAAGCUUUCUUGAGGCUUGUUGUCUCACAAAUCCCAUCUCCUUUCCUCAGCUGAAGUUACGCAUUAGAGGAAGACAACGAGGGAGACAGGUUCAAAACGAGAUUCUCUGUGGAUAUCUGUCAUCCUUUGCUUCUUUGGAGAAGGUGGCUGAAAACAGCUGGUGGGGAAGAGGAAAGCCGUUGACUGGUUCCAGGACCUGUGGUAAUAGAGGCACCAGCAAGCAUCUCAGAUGAAACCACUACUGAAGGAAUGGCUUCAAGUCAACUCCCUGCAAGACACGGCGAUUCAGCACAGAUCUUCUCUAGAGGCAGCCCCAUGAAAUGAGGAUCCAAAAUCCAAAACUGGAACUGCCUGGGCCUCUCUACUUACCUCCCAGCU